rnacentral:lncRNA from 1 species
UUUUGGGUUGGUGGCUCUACCUUCCAGAGCACAACAGGACACUGUGUACACCUGUAGAGAUUACCUUUCAGAGCUACUGAGAAUGACAUUUAUAAUUUUUUUUCACCACUCAACCCUAUGAGAGUACACACUGAGAUUGGUCCCCAUGGCAGAGUAAUGGUGAAGCAGAUGUCGAGUUUGCUACUCAUGAAGAUGCUAUGGCAACUAUGUCAAAAGACAAAGCAAAUUUGCAACAUAGAUAUGUAUAAUUCUUCUUGAAUUCUACAGCAGGAGCAAGCAGUGGUGCUUAUGGUAGCCAAAUGAUGGGAGGCAUGGGCUUGUCAAACCAGUCCAGUUAUGGUGACCCAGCUGAGUGGUGGUUAUGGAGACAGCUAUGGCAGACAGAGCAGCAUGAGUGGGUGGAUACGACCAAGUUUUAC